rnacentral:rRNA from 1 species
CAGCCGCCGCGGGAAUACAGAGGGUGCAAGCGUUAAUCGGAAUUACUGGGCGUAAAGCGCGCGUAGGUGGUUUGUUAAGUUGGAUGUGAAAGCCCCGGGCUCAACCUGGGAACUGCAUCCAAAACUGGCAAGCUAGAGUACGGUAGAGGGUGGUGGAAUUUCCUGUGUAGCGGUGAAAUGCGUAGAUAUAGGAAGGAACACCAGUGGCGAAGGCGACCACCUGGACUGAUACUGACACUGUGGUGCGAAAGCGUGGGGAGCAAACAGGAUUAGAUACCCGCGUAGUCCCUGUCUCUUAUAC